UUACGGCCACAUCACAUUGAAACACCGGUUCUUGUACGAUCUCCGAAGUUAAGCAAAGACGAGCUUGGCCAGUACCAAAUGAGUGACCACUUGGGAAUACCAGGUGCUGUAAG